CAGUCACACAUUAGAUACCCCGGUAGUCCCAGCCGUAAACUAUGCGCGUUAGGUGUAUCGGUGACCACGAGUUACCGAGGUGCCGAAGGGAAACCGUGAAACGUGCCGCCUGGGAAGUACGGUCGCAAGGCUAGAAACUUAAAGGAAUUGGCGGGGAGCACCACAACGGGUGGAGCCUGCGGUUUAAUUGGACUCAACGCCGGGAAGCUCACCGGAUAAGACAGCGGAAUGAUUGCCGGGCUGAAGACUCUGCAUGACUAGCUG
rnacentral:rRNA from 1 species